rnacentral:rRNA from 1 species
UUUAUUGAGAGUUUGAUCCUGGCUCAGGAUGAACGCUGGCGGCGUGUCUAAGGCAUGCAAGUCGAAUGGGUUUAGACCCAUGGCAAACGGGUGAGUAACACAUUGGUAACUUACCUCGAAGUUCGGCAUAACCUUCCGAAAGGAAGAAUAAUACCGGAUGUGGUCAUCAGACGAAUGUCUGGUGAGUAAAGAUUUAUCGCUUCGAGAGAGACCUAUGUCUUAUCAGCUAGUUGGUGGGGUAAAAGCCUACCAAGGCUAUGACGAGUAGCGGGUGUGAGAGCACGACCCGCCUCACUGGGACUGAGACACUGCCCAGACUCCUACGGGAGGCUGCAGUCAAGAAUAUUCCACAAUGGACGAAAGUCUGAUGGAGCGACGCCGCGUGAUCGAUGAAGCCCUUCGGGGUGUAAAGAUCUUUUAUUAGGGAAGAACUUUUGACGGUACCUAAUGAAUAAGGGGUUGCUAACUCUGUGCCAGCAGCAGCGGUAAUACAGAGACCCCGAGCGUUAUCCGGAUUUAUUGGGCGUAAAGCGUGCGCAGACGGUUUUUUAAGUCUGUGGUUAAAUCUUGGUGCUUAACAUCAAGACUGCCAUGGAAACUGGAAGACUAGAGGAUGGAAGAGGUCAACGGAAUUGCCAGUGUAACGGUAAAAUGUGUUAAUAUUGGCAAGAACACCAGAAGCGAAAGCGGUUGACUGGUACAAUCCUGACGUUGUUGCACGAAAGCGUGGGGAGCGAAUGGGAUCGAUCUGGUCCCUUCCGAUAGUGAUAUCGGAAUGAGAAUUUGGCUAUAUGCUGGAAUAUCUGUGUAUCUCAAACUACUUAUUUGAUAUAAUU